rnacentral:rRNA from 1 species
UGAGGAAUAUUGGUCAAUGGGCGGGAGCCUGAACCAGCCAAGCCGCGUGAGGGAUGAAGGCCCUAUGGGUCGUAAACCUCUUUUGUCAGGGAACAAAAGCGAGUAUGUAUACUAGUCUGAGUGUACCUGAAGAAAAACGCAUCGGCUAACUCCGUGCCAGCAGCCGCGGUAAUACGGAGGAUGCGAGCGUUAUCCGGAUUUAUUGGGUUUAAAGGGUGCGUAGGCGGCGAUGCAAGUCAGCGGUAAAAGCCCGGGGCUCAACCCCGGCGAGCCGUUGAAACUGCAGUGCUAGAGAAGGCGAGAGGUACGCGGAAUGCGCAGUGUAGCGGUGAAAUGCUUAGAUAUUGCGCAGAACUCCGAUUGCGAAGGCAGCGUACUGGCGCCUGACUGACGCUGAGGCACGAAACGCGUGGGGAUCGAACAGGAUUAGAUACC